CCUACGGGUGACAGCCGUGAGGAAUAUUGGUCAAUGGACGAGAGUCUGAACCAGCCAAGUAGCGUGAAGGAUGACUGCCCUAUGGGUUGUAAACUUCUUUUAUAUGGGAAUAAAAUGUUCCACGUGUGGGAUUUUGUAUGUACCAUAUGAAUAAGGAUCGGCUAACUCCGUGCCAGCAGCCGCGGUAAUACGGAGGAUCCGAGCGUUAUCCGGAUUUAUUGGGUUUAAAGGGAGCGUAGGUGGAUUGUUAAGUCAGUUGUGAAAGUUUGCGGCUCAACCGUAAAAUUGCAGUUGAAACUGGCAGUCUUGAGUACAGUAGAGGUGGGCGGAAUUCGUGGUGUAGCGGUGAAAUGCUUAGAUAUCACGAAGAACUCCGAUUGCGAAGGCAGUUCACUGGACUGCAACUGACACUGAGGCUCGAAAGUGUGGGUAUCAAACAGGAUUAGAUACCCGAGUAGUC
rnacentral:rRNA from 1 species